rnacentral:rRNA from 1 species
CCUACGGGAGGCAGCAGUGGGGAAUAUUGGACAAUGGGCGAAAGCCUGAUCCAGCAAUGCCGCGUGAGUGAUGAAGGCCUUCGGGUCGUAAAGCUCUUUUACCAGGGAUGAUAAUGACAGUACCUGGAGAAUAAGCUCCGGCUAACUCCGUGCCAGCAGCCGCGGUAAUACGGAGGGAGCUAGCGUUGUUCGGAAUUACUGGGCGUAAAGAGUACGUAGGCGGUUAUUCAAGUCAGAGGUGAAAGCCCGGGGCUCAACCCCGGAACUGCCUUUGAAACUAGAUAACUAGAGUCUUGGAGAGGUUAGUGGAAUUCCGAGUGUAGAGGUGAAAUUCGUAGAUAUUCGGAAGAACACCAGUGGCGAAAGGCGACUAACUGGACAAGUACUGACGCUGAGGUACGAAAGCGUGGGGAGCAAACAGGAUUAGAUACCCUGGUAAGUCCACGCCGUAAACGAUGAUAACUAGUUGUUCGGUCACUUGGUGACUGAGUGACGCAGCUAACGCAUUAAGUUAUCCGCCUGGGGAUACGGUCGCAAGNUUAAACUAAAUGAAUUGACGGNGNGAAGAGNGCGAGAGACAGAGGAGAG